rnacentral:lncRNA from 1 species
GGCUACGGAGGUGGUUGAUAGGCUUAGGCUUCGGCGGGUUUUGGCUUUGCUUCUGCUGCUUCUGGCCGUGGCUGUUGGACGAGGAGUCCUCGGAGGAAUCUAGGGGCAUGGGGACGCCACGUGGCGGCGUCGGAUUGGGCGAGGGGAGGUCGAGGGCGGAGAGGUCGAGGUCGGAGGGGUCGAAGAGUAAGAAGUCAUCGAAGCGGAAGGAGGUGUCGGAGUGGGCCCUACGGUGGUGGAUCCCACGGUGCUGAGGCGUCUCCGGCAUGUCGUCUAUGUCUACGGCCAUCGGUUGUUUGCCGGUCGUUUUGCUAGGAUUCAUUCUUAAUUGUCGUUUUGGUCGAUCAAAACGGUGGCGUUG